GCCAGGUGGGACGAGAUCCGAUUCCGCGAGUGAAAGAGCAACUUUGCGCUAAUGGAACUAGAGGGUCAGACUGGGAAGGGUCUUGCUCAUCCAGUGCUUCAGGGCCUAGCACAAGGCCUGUCCAUGGCAGAUGCUUUGAAUGUUUGCUCGGAAUUGAAGUGA
rnacentral:lncRNA from 1 species